rnacentral:rRNA from 1 species
GACGAACGCUGGCGGCGCGCUUAACACAUGCAAGUCGAACGGAAAGGCCUGCUUUCCCUUGUGGAUUGCGGGUACUCGAGUGGCGAACGGGUGAGUAACACGUGAGUGAUCUGCCCCCAACUUGGGUAUAAGCCUGGGAAACUGGGUCUAAUUCCCGAUAGGACUGCAGGGUGGUGCCUGUGGUGAAAAACGAUUUUCUAGUGGUUGGGGAUGAGCUCGCGGCCUAUCAGCUUGUUGGUGGGGUAAUGGCCUACCAAGGCGGCGACGGGUAGCCGGCCUGAGAGGGUGGACGGCCACAUUGGGACUGAGAUACGGCCCAGACUCCUACGGGAGGCAGCAGUGGGGAAUAGUGCACAAUGGGCGGAAGCCUGAUGCAGCGACGCCGCGUGGGGGAUGACGGCCUUCGGGUUGUAAACUCCUUUCGACCGCGAGGAAGCCACCUGGUUGGAAGGGUGGUGACGGUAGUGGUAGAAGAAGCACCGGCUAACUACGUG